rnacentral:rRNA from 1 species
UACGUAGGGGGCAAGCGUUAUCCGGAUUUACUGGGUGUAAAGGGAGCGUAGACGGAAGUUUAAGUCUGAAGUGAAAUGCGGGGGCUCAACCCCUGAACUGCUUUGGAUACUGGACUUCUGGAGUGCAGGAGAGGUAAGCGGAAUUCCUGGUGUAGCGGUGAAAUGCGUAGAUAUCAGGAGGAACACCGGAGGCGAAGGCGGCUUACUGGACUGUAACUGACGUUGAGGCUCGAAGGCGUGGGGAG